CCUACGGGUGGCUGCAGCAACGAAUAUUCCGCAAUGGACGCAAGUCUGACGGAGCGACGCCGCGUGCAGGAUGAAGUCCUUCGGGAUGUAAACUGCUGUCAGGGGCUAGGAAACAAAUGACCAGCCCCAGAGGAAGCACCGGCUAACUCCGUGCCAGCAGCCGCGGUAAUACGGAGGGUGCAAGCGUUGUUCGGAAUUACUGGGCUUAAAGCGCGUGUAGGCGGGACGCCAAGUGUCGUGUGAAAGCCCCGAGCUCAACUCGGGAAUUGCGCGGCAAACUGGCGUUCUUGAGGCAAGUAGAGGUGACUGGAACGACCGGUGGAGCGGUGAAAUGCGUAGAUAUCGGUUGGAACGCCGGAGGCGAAAGCGGGUCACUGGGCUUGUCCUGACGCUAAGACGCGAAAGCGUGGGGAGCAAACAGGAUUAGAUACCCUUGUAGU
rnacentral:rRNA from 1 species